AAAGUCGUAACAAGGUUUCCGUAGGUGAACCUGCGGAAGGAUCAUUACAUUCAGUACUUUCGGGGCUUGUAAGUCUAUAUCACUAUAGCAUGCCUCUGUCUGAACCCUUGUCUUUUGCGUACUUAUGUUUCCUCGGCGGGCCUGCCCGCCGUUGGACAACCUAAAAACCUUUUUAAUUUUCAAUCAGCGUCUGAACAAACAUAAUAAUUACAACUUUCAACAACGGAUCUCUUGGUUCUGGCAUCGAUGAAGAACGCAGCGAAAUGCGAUAAGUAGUGUGAAUUGCAGAAUUCAGUGAAUCAUCGAAUCUUUGAACGCACAUUGCGCCCCUUGGUAUUCCAUGGGGCAUGCCUGUUCGAGCGUCAUUUGUACCCUCAAGCUCUGCUUGGUGUUGGGUGUUUGUCCUCUCCUUCGCGGUUGGACUCGCCUUAAAGUAAUUGGCAGCCAGUGUAUUGGUCUUGAAGCGCAGCACAAUUUGCGAUUCUUGCUAAUCAUCACUAGCAUCCAUAAAGCCUUUUUAUCACUUUUGACCUCGGAUCAGGUAGGGAUACCCGCUGAACUUA
rnacentral:rRNA from 1 species